UAGCUUAGCGGCUGAGGAUAUCCACAGUGAGGGUUAAGGUGGGUGGAGCCUGGCCCCCAUGGGAGAAGGCUGGGAUACACACUGGACAGCAUGUUCUUUGUCCAGUGAUUGUGCCCCCUGGUGUACAGACGGCCGAGACGGCUGCACAGCACCGUACAGCACGGGUUUGUGGGUGUCUGGCUGGUUUCACACCUUCACAAUAAAAGGAUUUUUUUCAUGAUAAGCCAAC